rnacentral:rRNA from 1 species
GUGGGUUGCAAAAGAAGUAGGUAGCUUAACCUUCGGGAGGGCGCUUACCACUUUGUGAUUCAUGACUGGGGUGAAGUCGUAACAAGGUAACCGUAGGGGAACCUGCGGUUGGAUCACCUCCUUACCUAAAGA